UACGUAGGGGGCAAGCGUUAUCCGGAUUUACUGGGUGUAAAGGGUGCGCAGGCGGUCUGUUAAGUCAGCGGUCAAAGCCCGGGGCUCAACCCCGGCCCGCCGUUGAAACUGGCAGUCUCGAGUUGGAGAGAAGUAUGCGGAAUGCGCGGUGUAGCGGUGAAAUGCAUAGAUAUCACGAAGAACUCCGAUUGCGAAGGCAGCAUACCGGCGCCCGACUGACGCUGAGGCACGAAAGUGCGGGUAUCGAACAGG
rnacentral:rRNA from 1 species